AGAACGAACGCUGGCGGCAGGCUUAACACAUGCAAGUCGAGCGCCCCGCAAGGGGAGCGGCAGACGGGUGAGUAACGCGUGGGAAUCUACCCAUCUCUACGGAACAACUCCGGGAAACUGGAGCUAAUACCGUAUACGCCCUUCGGGGAAGAUUAUCGGAGAUGGAUGAGCCCGCGUUGGAUUAGCUAGUUGGUGGGGUAAUGGCCUACCAAGGCGACGAUCCAUAGCUGGUCUGAGAGGAUGAUCAGCCACAUUGGGACUGAGACACGGCCCAAACUCCUACGGGAGGCAGCAGUGGGGGAUAUUGGACAAUGGGCGAAAGCCUGAUCCAGCCAUGCCGCGUGAGUGAUGAAGGCCCUAGGGUUGUAAAGCUCUUUCGCAAGGGAAGAAAACUUAUCCUCUAACAUAGGAUGAGGUUGACGGUACCUUGAUAAGAAGCACCGGCUAACUACGUGCCAGCAGCCGC
rnacentral:rRNA from 1 species